rnacentral:tRNA from 1 species
AGGGACUUAGGAUAGCACUAGUCCAAGAGCCUUCAAAGCCCUCAGCGGGGGUGAAAAUCCCCCAGGCCCUG